GAUGAACGCUGGCGGCGUGCCUAAUACAUGCAAGUCGAGCGAACAGACGAGGAGCUUGCUCCUCUGACGUUAGCGGCGGACGGGUGAGGAACACGUGGAUAACCUACCUAUCAGACUGGGAUAACUUCGGGGAACCGGAGCUAAUACCGGAUAACAUGUUGAACCUCAUGGGUCAACAGUGGAAGAGGGUCUUUCUGUCGGUUAUAGAUGGAUCCGCGCCGCAUUAGCUAGUUGGUAAGGUAACGGCUUAGCAAUGCAACGAUGCGUAGCCGACCUGAGAGGGUGAUCGGGCACCGUGGAACUGAGACACGGUCCCGACCCCUACGGGAGGAGGCAGCAGGGAAUCUUGCGAAAGGGGCGAAAGCGUGAGGGAGAAACGGCGAGGGAGUGAAGAAGGUCUUCGGAUCGGAGAACUAUGUUAUUAGGGACGGAGAAAUGUGUAAGUAACUAUGCAGGUGUUGACGGUACCUAAUGAGAAAGCGACGGCUAACUACGUG
rnacentral:rRNA from 1 species